rnacentral:rRNA from 1 species
UUGACCUCGGAUCAGGCAGGGAUACCCGCUGAACUUAAGCAUAUCAAUAAGCGGAGGAAAAGAGACCAACAGGGAUUGCCUCAGUAACGGCGAGUGAAGCGGCAACAGCUCAAAUUUGAAAUCUGGCUCUUUUAGGGUCCGAGUUGUAAUUUGUAGAGGAUGCUUCGGCGUCGGCUCCGGUCUAAGUUCCUUGGAACAGGACGUCAUAGAGGGUGAGAAUCCCGUAUGUGAUCGGUUGCCCUUGCCAUGUGAAGCUCCUUCGACGAGUCGAGUUGUUUGGGAAUGCAGCUCUAAAUGGGAGGUAAAUUUCUUCUAAAGCUAAAUACUGGCCAGAGACCGAUAGCGCACAAGUAGAGUGAUCGAAAGAUGAAAAGCACUUUGGAAAGAGAGUUAAACAGUACGUGAAAUUGUUGAAA